UUAAGCAUAUCAAUAAGCGGAGGAAAAGAAACCAACAGGGAUUGCCCCAGUAACGGCGAGUGAAGCGGCAACAGCUCAAAUUUGAAAUCUGGCCCCUAGGGUCCGAGUUGUAAUUUGUAGAGGAUGCUUUUGGUGAGGUGCCGCCCGAGUUCCCUGGAACGGGACGCCACAGAGGGUGAGAGCCCCGUCUGGCUGGCCGCCGAGCCUCUGUAAAGCUCCUUCGACGAGUCGAGUAGUUUGGGAAUGCUGCUCAAAAUGGGAGGUAUAUGUCUUCUAAAGCUAAAUAUUGGCCAGAGACCGAUAGCGCACAAGUAGAGUGAUCGAAAGAUGAAAAGCACCUUGAAAAGAGGGUUAAAUAGUACGUGAAAUUGUUGAAAGGGAAGCGCUUGUGACCAGACUUGGGCGCGGCGGAUCAUCCGGGGUUCUCUCCGGUGCACUUCGCCGCGUCUAGGCCAGCAUCAGUUCGUCGCGGGGGAAAAAGGCUUCGGGAACGUGGCUCCUCCGGGAGUGUUAUAGCCCGUUGCAUAAUACCCUGCGGKGACUGAGGACCGCGCAUCUGCAAGGA
rnacentral:rRNA from 1 species